rnacentral:lncRNA from 1 species
UCCGGAUGUUGGGUCAUCAUUGCUAGAUGGUUACAUCGAUUGAUUCAGGAAGGUGUUCCUAUACUAUCGACUUAGGUUCGAACCUAUGGGGUCGUACUCAAAAGAAGUUUAUGACUGAUCAUGUGGCUGAUCAACGAUUGAGAAUCAUUCAAGGGCUUAAUCGUCAAUUCGAUUGAUGGUUAACCUUAUGCAAAAGUUAUAAUAAAUUAAUUCAUCAAGUGUUAGUAAAUUAAUGAAGGAUUAAUUAGCAAU